UACAGAGGGGGCGAGCGUUAUUCGGAAUUAUUGGGCGUAAAGAGCGUGUAGGCGGCCUGAUAAGUCGGCUGUGAAAGUCAAGGGCUCAACCCUUGAAUGCCGGCCGAUACUGUCAGGCUAGAGUCCGGAAGAGGCGAGUGGAAUUCCUGGUGUAGCGGUGAAAUGCGCAGAUAUCAGGGGGAACACCUAUGGCGAAGGCAGCUCGCUGGGACGGUACUGACGCUGAGACGCGAAAGCGUGGGGAGCGAACAGG
rnacentral:rRNA from 1 species